rnacentral:lncRNA from 1 species
AAGGGAGCCAGGGAGAGCUCACAGGCACAAGAAUAACGCUGCUGUGAUAAUAAACCCACUCCUGGGACAGCAACAUUCAUCCCGUCAUGAGAACAGAGCCCUCAUUCAUCCAUUCAUCUCAUCAUAGGGGCAGAAGGAUUACAUUUCUAACACAUGAACUUUUGGGGGACACAUUCAAUACCUAGCACUCCCAAAAUAUUCACUAAGAGUGAGAGUAAAUUGAUUUAAUUUCAGACUGUUCUUGGCAGUCCAUAAGUAGAGAUUUCCAAGUUUUACAAUAGAGAAUUAAAAUGAUUGAAAAAUAUUCUAAAAAAAAAAAAACAACCUGCAGAAGAAAGCUAGAAAAUCAGAAGAUGAAAUAUUUUUUAGGCAUAAAAUAUGCAUGCAGUUUAUAGACAAUGGAGAUGUGCUAACUCUUGAAAACGUGCUUCGACAUCUCAAAUUGCUUAAGGCUUUUGCAACAAAAUAACUUACCAGUGUCAGGCCAUGGUAGAAUAUGAGUUCACAAUGAAUUUUUAUGCCUGGGUUUCUGUGACCCAAGUUAUGCUGAAGAAUAUGAGAGACACCACCUUUUAAAAAUUUUUACAUAGCCUGCGGCCACUGCAAUUCGUUAAUCCCUUUGGAAAAUUGCUUAAGCCUGGCAUGUUUUGUAAUGAACUUUAUCUCUUCACUACCAAAAGUCGUAAAAAGGAACUUCAGUGAGGAAAGAAACACAAUUGAUAAUUGAAUAUUUCAAAGAGAUCAGCAUUUUAGAAAACUGGACGGAAUCUCACUCUCACCAGGCUGGAGUGCAGCGAGCAAUCUCGGCUCACUGCAGCCUCUGCCUCCUGGGUUCAAGCAAUUCUCCUGCCUCAGCCUCCCGAGUAGCUGGGAUUACAGCUUUUUGGAUUGGCUCACAGUUUUCCUACUUUUCUGUCCUGUCAGUUGAGAAGAAUACAUUUCAAGAGAUGCUCUUGGAAAACACGUUUGAUGGAGAGGUUGAUUUUUGUAACCUGUAUGCCGUAGUCAGGAGGGAAAUUUGGACAUGGACACAUAGGGAAGACAGCCAUGUGGAGACAGAGGCAGAGGUGGACCUGCUGCCGCAAAACCACAGGGCGCCAAGUACUGUGGGCCACUGAGAAAACUAAAGGAGAGGAAGGAUUCUUCCCUGGAGCUUUGGAGAGGGUGCGGCCCUACUUUCACCUGGAUUUCAGACUUCAGACUUCCAGAACCAUGAAGGAAUAAGCUCUCUUUGUUUCAAAACCACUCAGUCAAGGCACUUUGUUACAACAGCCUAGGAAACUAAUACAGGAAUUGGUAUUAGUAAAAUCAUUAUUGUUGGCUCAU